GAUGAACGCUGGCGGCGUGCUUAACACAUGCAAGUCGAACGGAAAGGCCCAAGCUUGCUUGGGUCCUCGAGUGGCGAACGGGUGAGUAACACGUGGGUGAUCUGCCCUGCACUUCGGGAUAAGCCUGGGAAACUGGGUCUAAUACCGGAUAGGACCACUUCUUGGAUGUUGUGGUGGAAAGUUUUUUCGGUGUGGGAUGAGCUCGCGGCCUAUCAGCUUGUUGGUGGGGUAAUGGCCUACCAAGGCGUCGACGGGUAGCCGGCCUGAGAGGGUGUACGGCCACAUUGGGACUGAGAUACGGCCCAGACUCCUACGGGAGGCAGCAGUGGGGAAUAUUGCACAAGGGGCGCAAGCCUGAUGCAGCGACGCCGCGUGGGGGAUGACGGCCUUCGGGUUGUAAACUCCUUUCGCUAGGGACGAAGCGUUUUGUGACGGUACCUGGAGAAGAAGCACCGGCUAACUACGUG
rnacentral:rRNA from 1 species